rnacentral:rRNA from 1 species
UUCAACUAGGAGGUUGGCUCAGAAGCAGCCAUCCUUCAAAGAGUGCGUAACAGCUCACUAGUCGAAUGACUCUGCGCCGAUAAUUUACCGGGGCUAAGCAUGACACCGAAGCUAUGGACAGGAAUGUGGUAGGGGAGCAUUGCAUGCAGCGGAGAAGCAUGACCGAGAGGGCAUGUGGAGCGCAUGGAAGAGAGAAUGCCGGCGUGAGUAGCGGCACGUGGGUGAGAAUCCCACGCACCGAUGGCCCAAGGUCUCCAGAGGAAGGCUCGUCCUCUCUGGGAUAGUCGGGACCUAAGGCGAGGCCGAAAGGCGUAGCCGAUGGACGACGGGUGGAUAUUCCCGUACCCGAUGUGUGGCGAUGGAGUGACGGAGAAGGCUCAGGCAACCAGCUGCUGGAAUAGCUGGGGCAAGCGAGAUACCUGCGCACCAGGGAAAUCCGGUGCGCGCAGGGAGAAGGCGCGAAGCAUACGGAAAGCUGCGGCAAGUACGGAAAAGCUGAGAGCAGGCUUCCAGGAAAAGCUUCUAGCACAACACGCAUCGGCCCGUACCGAAAAUGGACACACAUGGGCAAGGAGAGAAUCCUGAGGUGAGCGAGAGAACUAUAGCUAAGGAACUCUGCAAAAUGACCCCGUAACUUAGGGAGAAGGGGUGCUCCAGAAAUGGAGCCGCAGUAAAACGGCCCAAGCGACUGUUUACCAAAAACACAGCUCUCUGCGAAGGCGCAAGCCGAAGUAUAGGGGGUGACGCCUGCCCGGUGCUAGAAGGUCAAGGGGAGCUGUCAGCGCAAGCGAAGCAGCGAGCCGAAGCCCCAGUAAACGGCGGCCGUAACAAUAACGGUCCUAAGGUCGAAAUUCCUUGUCGGGCAAGUUCCGACCCGCACGCAAGGCGUAACGAUUUGGGCGCUGUCUCAGCUGUAGACUCGGUGAAGUCUUAGUACCUGUGAAGAUGCAGGUUGCCCGCGACUAGACGGAAAGACCCCAUGGAGCUUCACUGCAGGCUGACAUUGGGCUUGGAUGCAUGAUGUACAGGAUAGGUGGGAGGCUGUGAGCCGUGCGCACCAGCGUACGGGGAGCCGCUGUUGGGAUACCACCCUUCAUGCAUCUAGGUCCUAACCGGAGGCAACGGGCCACGGGACAGUGUCAGUCGGGCAGUUUGACUGGGGCGGUCGCCUCCCAAAGAGUAACGGAGGCGCCCAAAGAUACCCUCAGCAUGGAUGGAAACCAUGCAUAGAGUGCAAAGGCAUAAGGGUGUCUGACUGCGAGACAUACAGGUCGAGCAGGGACGAAAGUCGGGCUUAGUGAUCCGGCGGAUCCGAAUGGAAGGGCCGUCGCUCAACGGAUAAAAGCUACCCUGGGGAUAACAGGCUGAUCUCCCCCAAGAGUUCACAUCGACGGGGAGGUUUGGCACCUUGAUGUCGGCUCAUCGCAUCCUGGAGCUGAAGUCGGUUCCAAGGGUUGGGCUGUUCGCCCAUUAAAGCGGUACGCGAGCUGGGUUCAGAACGUCGUGAGACAGUUCGGUCCCUAUCUGUCGUGGGCGCAGGAGGUUUGAGGAGAGCUGCCCCUAGUACGAGAGGACCGGGGUGGACGGACCGAUGGUGCACCAGUUGUCACGCCAGUGGCACAGCUGGGCAGCCAAGUCCGGACGGGAUAAGCGCUGAAGGCAUCUAAGCGUGAGGCCCCCUCCAAGAUGAGACCUCCCAUUGGCGACAAGUAAGGCCCCUCGAAGACGACGAGGUUGAUAGGCCGCGAGUGCAAGCGCAGCGAUGUGCUUAGCGGGGCGGUACUAAUAGGCCGAGGACUUGGCCG